GUCCACGCCGUAAACGAUGAGUGCUUGGUGUAGCGGGUAUCGACCCCUGCUGUGCCGAAGUCAACACAUUAAGCACUCCGCCUGGGGAGUACGGUCGCAAGACUGAAACUCAAAGGAAUUGACGGGGGCCCGCACAAGCGGUGGAGCAUGUGGUUUAAUUCGAAGCAACGCGCAGAACCUUACCUGGGUUUGAACUGUACAGGAAAGUCUCAGAGAUGAGAGCCCCUUUCGGAGGUCUGUAUAGAGGUGCUGCAUGGCUGUCGU
rnacentral:rRNA from 1 species